AUGGUGGCGCAUGCCUGUAAUCACAGUGUUGGGAGGUUGAAACAGGAGGAUUGCCAUGAGUUUGAGGCCAGCCUGAACUACACAGGGAGACCUUGUCUCAAAAAGACAAAAAGAGCAAUUAGAUUUAAUAAUGGGAAGCAUGUACUGCAAACCAGAGCAUUUCAAAGAAAACCUUAUGUCCAGCCCACUUUGUAUCGCCUCAUGGGUCCUGACUCUUUAAAGCAAGCUUGGAAAGCCACAGGAGAGAUUCAUAAGAGAAAAUAUUGUCUGAUGUGGAUUAUUUUAAUCUGGCUUCAGAAUACCUAACUCUACUUUGCACUCCCCAACAAGGAUAACAUUUUUUAAAAAUACAGAUUUAAAUAAAAUAUUUUUAAACUAUAAGCUGUUUUUAUGAGUGUAUGUUUGUGAUAGAUAAUAAUUACAUUUGUUUUGAGGAACUGGUACACAUAUUAUCAUUUCUUGAUCACCUUUGUUCCCUUUACCCCCUACUAUCCCUUUCCCUUUGCUGAUUAAACAGAUUCUUGGAAGUACACCUGCUAUAAAUCAGCAUUAAAUAUUUCAAAUUACAGAAGCCAUUUUAGUGUUAAAACACUUGGCAAGCUAAGAAACUUCAUUUAUGUAAACAAGGGCUCAGGGAAAAUAUAUAAUGGCUUUGGUAAAAAUUUUGUUGAUAGGAAAAAUGGCUGAAAAUAAAAAUGUACUCAUAAUAAGUUUAUCUUAUAUUCAAAUAAUUGUACACAAAUAUUAGACACUGUAUGCAACUUUUUUCAAAUUAAGAACUUCAAAAAAGUAUAAAAAGCCUUAAUUAAAAAGGGCAGCAUAAGAACUUUUAUUUAUUGUGUCUAAAAUGUCCCAAGCACUUAUUUAUACAUUUCCUUUUUUAUAUGUUAUAAAACUAUGUGAUUAUGAGGAAAGUUAUUGUACUUCCUGCUUCCAAGGCCAUUCUAGUAUGUUAAAACGAUGGACAGAUGUGCCUCACUGCUCUCUCUGUCCAGAAUGUCCUCCUAGACUUUGACAUGGCUGGCUUCUUCUCAUCCUUAAUUUGGCAGCAGUUCACUCUCUUUCCCAUCGUAACUACAAACCCUCUCAAAAUUCUCUAACCUCCCCAGGCGAUGCAGCAGCUGCUUAUUCCUAAGAGAUCAGGCCUUUCCCUCAAUGUGCUCUUAAAAUAAGUUGUCUUAGGGGCCGGGGAUUUAGCUCAGUAGUUCCACUGCCUGCCUCGAAAGUACAAGGACCUGAGUUUGAUCUCUGGUACAAAAAAAAAAAGUUGUUCUUAUUUACACUUUUGUCACGACAGGCAUGGCUGCCAUAAAGGGUAUACUCAAUGCAUUCCACAUUCAAAAUUGGUUUCUGCUUUUUAAAAUACAACAAAACCAAAUGGAGACUAUAAUCCCAUGUAUUUAAAACUCCUCAAUCUCUUCCUUCUCCUGAAUUGUUUAUUGCAGAUCUAUAUUUGUUGUGUUAGUUACUUUUCUCUCCUUGUUGAGACAAAAUACCCAACACCCAAAGUUAGAGAGGAAAGGGUUUAUUUGGCUCACAGUUGUAGAGGUUCAGUCCAUAUUUGGAUGGCUCCAAAGCAGGGAGAGCAAACAGGCAUCGCAAAAGAGAAACAACAUGGCGGCCACAAGGUAGCAAAGGCAACAAAGGACCUUCACCGCAUCUUUCUGCCUCUUUUAUCCCAUUCAGACUACUGGGAUUAGGGCAGUGCUAAAUCACUCAUGUGUAGUGCUUAAGUAAUCACAUGACAUUAAUACCAACAUCACACAUUCCACAUUCAGCUACCUCUGA
rnacentral:lncRNA from 1 species